rnacentral:rRNA from 1 species
GAUGAACGCUAGCGGCAGGCCUAACACAUGCAAGUCGAGGGGUAGAAGGAGCUUGCUCCUUUGAGACCGGCGCACGGGUGCGUAACGCGUAUGCAAUCUACCUUGUACAGGGGAAUAGCCCAGAGAAAUUUGGAUUAAUGCCCCAUAGUAUAUAACCUUCGCAUGUUGGUUAUAUUAAAGUUCCAACGGUACAAGAUGAGCAUGCGUCCCAUUAGUUAGUUGGUAAGGUAACGGCUUACCAAGACGAUGAUGGGUAGGGGUCCUGAGAGGGAGAUCCCCCACACUGGUACUGGGACACGGACCAGACUCCUACGGGAGGCAGCAGUGAGGAAUAUUGGUCAAUGGUCGCAAGACUGAACCAGCCAUGCCGCGUGCAGGAAGACGGUCCUAUGGAUUGUAAACUGCUUUUAGACAGGAAGAAACCCUCCCACGUGUGGGAGCUUGACGGUACUGUAGGAAUAAGGAUCGGCUAACUCCGUG